GGUGAGUAACACGUGACUAACCUACCUUCGAGUGGGGGAUAACCUAGGGAAACCUGGGCUAAUACCGCAUAACAUCUUUGGAGUGGAAAUUCUGGAGAUCAAAGGAGCAAUUCGCUUGAAGAGGGGGUCGCGGCUGAUUAGCUAGUUGGCGGGGUAACGGCCCACCAAGGCGAUGAUCGGUAGCCGGCCUGAGAGGGCGCACGGCCACACUGGAACUGAAACACGGUCCAGACUCCUACGGGAGGCAGCAGUGGGGAAUUUUGCGCAAUGGGGGAAACCCUGACGCAGCAACGCCGCGUGGAGGAUGAAGUCCCUUGGGACGUAAACUCCUUUCGACCGGGACGAUAAUGACGGUACCGGUGGAAGAAGCCCCGGCUAACUUCGUGCCAGCAGCCGCGGUAAUACGAGGGGGGCAAGCGUUGUUCGGAAUUAUUGGGCGUAAAGGGCGCGUAGGCGGUGCGGUAAGUCACCUGUGAAAUCUCCGGGCUUAACUCGGAGCCUGCAGGCGAAACUGCCGUGCUG
rnacentral:rRNA from 1 species